rnacentral:lncRNA from 1 species
AGCAGGUAUUGCAUUUUUCUAUGCCAAAUAUCAUAAUUCUUUCCAUCUAACUUAUCACCCCUGGUGAUAUCAACUAUGAUGUUCUUGGAAGUCAUUUCACUACAUUCAAAAAUAGGUUUGGACAUUAAGCACAUAUUCUCAAAAAAAUUAACAAAAUUGGAACAUUAUCCUCGACACAACGGGAUCGAAAUCUUCGCUAUGCUCAUAAUCAUCAUACAGUGUCAGUUCAAAAUACUACAAUCUUAUUAAUUUUCUGUUAAUUUUAUCCAAAAGUUGGAACUCAUCCAUUUUGAAAAUCACAUCAUUUUUCUUGAAAAAUAUUUAUAUAAGGAGAACUUAUCUCAUAAUAUCAUCACACAGAUAAAAAAAUAAGUACUUGUACCAAAAUUUAAUUUGAAGAACGUCGACACUGCGCAAAACACAUUCCUUUACAUAGCCUUAAUUAUUACAUCACCUUUUUGCACAAUUAAAACCUACUACAUCACUACAACAUGUACAUCAGAAAAAUAAUAUUCUACAGGAAUGCUGCACACGUCGAACCCGUCUUUCCAAAAUUAAAUUUUGUUGAAAA